rnacentral:misc_RNA from 1 species
GCUUAUGCAAUCUCAAAUUAGAGGACAGGCAGAGCUAUAUAUGUUCGCGUUUAUGUAGCUCCUUGCUUCUCUUUAGCUCCUUUUAUAUAUUUUGUAGUUCUUCUUAAUUACAUGGCCUAUAAAUGGAAGUGAUGUAACUUCCGGUACACCGGAGUUUCAAAAGGGGAGAAGAAGGUUUAACUACAAAACCUUUUACAUCACUUACAGAAUUAUAAUAUGUUAAUUCGACUUCUUCUUCUUCUUUGGCAUCCUCUGCAACUUCCUCCACUUCAAAUAUAUCUGGAAUGACAAUCCUGAGAAGACCAUGAUGACGCUUGUCCAUUGCUUUGUAGACAAUGGGUUGCCACUUAACACAGAUGAAACCACUAUGCUAACAAACUUGCGCGUUGUGGUGAUGGUUGUGUUAGUGAGUGAACCAAAUCGGCUGAUGGUUAGAAAAAUGAAGUUCUGGCCAACAGCACCACAUAGACAGUACAUAAGAAUGUCCCAUGCUGCUUCUGGGUGCUGCUUACAGAACUGAACCGCCUCAAAUCCGCUGGCAUUUGACCAGCCAAACAUGAAGAUCAUGUUAUAAAUAGUACCCCAUAAAUUCAUUCCUAACAUAAUAUCCCAAGCAGAUGUCUUAGGGUACCUUGCUUUAAUCGAAUCCUGAGUAGCAUUGGUGAAACCAUCAAAGGUGAGGUUCAGGAAGCACAGCCCAUAUCCAACUGGAGCAUUGGGGUGCGCCAACUUACUUAUCGUUUUUGAGCUAGUCUUUAGAAGUGCAAACAUUGAUACUCCACCAGCAACAAGCAGUGUGCACACAUACUCUGGAACUGUAUAUCUUAUGCCAUAAACUAUUGCGCCCAUGAGCAUUACAGGAAUCAUUUUUGAUGAUUUUGCCAGGACCUGUGCAGGAUAACUAAUAUAUUUUAGCGCUUCAAUCCCCAUUGCUGGUCCAAUAGUAUUUGUAAUGCCAGCACUCCAGUAACUCCACCAGGGAGCACCACCGCUGUUUCCGCUUGACCAUAUCUUUAUCAUCAUAAAUGACCAUAUCAGACAUACUACAUUUUGUGCCAGGUUCAGGAAUGCCAAGUGUUCAAACCUCUCUUUGUUUGGGCCAAACCGCUUAGUUGACACCGUCUCUUGCAGAACGCCUUGGUAAAUGUAAGCAGACCAAAUGCCGGCGACACAAAAGGCGAGGACCAUAACACGGCGGAUCCCGGCGCCGUGAGACUCCAUUGGGCUUAACGUCGUCGGCGCUAACACUUUGAUCCUCCCUGCCACGUGUGUAAUCUCCGACGACGAUCACUCACCGGCGAUAGGGAAUCGACGGGACAACUUCGGUGUUUUGCCCUUGAAUUUUCUAUUUAAC